CAGGAGAAGAUGGAGGGAGAAUGGAGAGCUGAGGAACAGGAUAGCUGUAAAGAGAGAAAGAAGGAGCAGCAAUACAAGAGGGAAAGGAGACGAUGAGGGAAAGAGAAGGAGGAAGUGUCAGAUCCUGCAGGAGGCUGUCAGAUAUCCCAGGCACACACAGGCUCCGCUCGGCUGCACACUCUGUUUGCUCUGUUCUGGCCGACACACACAAAGAAGCGGUGCAGACGGAUGAUGUGGAGACUCAGUCAGUGGGACCAAACCCUCCAGCUUCAAGUCCAGCUUCGAUCACGGAGGAAGAAUAAAGAAAAGGGAAAAGGGAAAAAAAAGA